AACAAGGAUUUCCGGUUACCUUUCUUUUGCUAAGCACGCGGCGUGGAUGGUGUUGCUGCGCUGGUGUCCUCAGCAUUUAUGUGUAGAUUAUAGUUUAUUCCUUCGUUCAUUUUGUAAACAAGGUCUAAGAUGAUGCCUUGGAACAGAUACCAAUCAAGAGUCAAGCAAGGUGGCUGGAUUAUACGAGGAUGAUGAAGAUGACAGCGCGUGACAAGAUGAAGCUGGCAGAAUCCCUCUUGCAUCAGAUCAGUCACAGAGCUGCUGUUCAGGGAUGAUAAAACCCCAGAGCUUGAGCAGCAGUAUGGAUGAGUUCUGCAGAGAAGGCUCAUUCUAAGAGCAGUAGAUGUGGCCAAAGAUCCUCACCCUGCAGAGGGAUAAAUAUGGCAGCAUUUAAGUGGUUUUUUGAUGACCACAACCCUGAAAUCUUGGCUCCAUAAGCGUCUCGUCAUCUCAGAGCUGUUGGACUUCUUUCCAAAACAAUGAUUUUGAGUUCUCAAUAAAGAUUAUUUUAAAACCUUU